GAUGAACGCUAGCUACAGGCUUAACACAUGCAAGUCGAGGGGAAACGACAUCGAAAGCUUGCUUUUGAUGGGCGUCGACCGGCGCACGGGUGAGUAACGCGUAUCCAACCUGCCCAUCACUUGGGAAUAACCUUGCGAAAGUAAGACUAAUACCCAAUGAUAUCCCACGAAGGCAUCGGAAUGGGAUUAAAGAUUUAUCGGUGAUGGAUGGGGAUGCGUCUGAUUAGCUUGUUGGCGGGGUAACGGCCCACCAAGGCAACGAUCAGUAGGGGUUCUGAGAGGAAGGUCCCCCACAUUGGAACUGAGACACGGUCCAAACUCCUACGGGAGGCAGCAGUGAGGAAUAUUGGGCAAUGGGCGAGAGCCUGAACCAGCCAAGUAGCGUGCAGGAAGACGGCCCUAUGGGUUGUAAACUGCUUUUAUAAGGGAAUAAAGUGGGUCACGUGUGACUUUUUGCAUGUACCUUAUGAAUAAGGACCGGCUAAUUCCGUG
rnacentral:rRNA from 1 species